UAGGGAAUCUUCCGCAAUGGACGCAAGUCUGACGGAGCAACGCCGCGUGAGUGAAGAAGGAUUUCGGUUCGUAAAACUCUGUUGUUAGAGAAGAACAGCGCAUAGAGUAACUGUUAUGCGUGUGACGGUAUCUAACCAGAAAGCCACGGCUAACUACGUGCCAGCAGCCGCGGUAAUACGUAGGUGGCAAGCGUUGUCCGGAUUUAUUGGGCGUAAAGCGAGCGCAGGCGGUCAAUUAAGUCUGAUGUGAAAGCCCCCGGCUCAACCGGGGAGGGUCAUUGGAAACUGGUUGACUUGAGUGCAGAAGAGGAGAGUGGAAUUCCAUGUGUGGCGGUGAAAUGCGUAGAUAUAUGGAGGAACACCAGUGGCGAAGGCGACUCUCUGGUCUAUAACUGACGCUGAGGUUCGAAAGCGUGGGUAGCAAACAGG
rnacentral:rRNA from 1 species